rnacentral:tRNA from 1 species
GAGGGUAUAGCUCAGUGGUAGAGUGUGUGCUUACCAUGCUCAAGGUCCUGGGUUCAAUCGCCAGUGCCUCCA